rnacentral:ncRNA from 1 species
AAUAAUAUUAUCAAAAAAUCGCGUAUAAUUUCAAGAAUAAGGCUUGAUAGUUUCUACCGGCUAGCCGAAAACUGGCCGACUACGGGGUAGCAUGAUAACUAU